UGCCUUCGGGAACUCUGACACAGGUGCUGCAUGGCUGUCGUCAGCUCGUGUCGUGAGAUGUUGGUUAAGUCCCGUAACGAGCGCAACCCUUGUCCUUAGUUACCAGCACGUUAUGGUGGGCACUCUAAGGAGACUGCCGGUGACAAACCGGAGGAAGGUGGGGAUGACGUCAAGUCAUCAUGGCCCUUGCGGCCUGGGCUACACACGUGCUACAAUGGUCGGUACAAAGGGUUGCCAAGCCGCGAGGUGGAGCUAAUCCCAUAAAACCGAUCGUAGUCCGGAUCGCAGUCUGCAACUCGACUGCGUGAAGUCGGAAUCGCUAGUAAUCGUGAAUCAGAAUGUCACGGUGAAUACGUUCCCGGGCCUU
rnacentral:rRNA from 1 species